rnacentral:rRNA from 1 species
GACGAACGCUGGCGGCGUGCUUAACACAUGCAAGUCGAACGAAGCUUGAUUACGGAUUCUUCGGAUGAAGUAUGAUAUGACUGAGUGGCGGACGGGUGAGUAACGCGUGAGUAACCUGCCCUUCAGAGGGGGAUAGCGUUUGGAAACGAACGGUAAUACCGCAUAAUGUAUUUUGACCGCAUGAUCGAAAUACCAAAGAUUUAUCGCUGAAGGAUGGACUCGCGUCUGAUUAGGUAGUUGGUGGGGUAACGGCCUACCAAGCCGACGAUCAGUAGCCGGACUGAGAGGUUGAUCGGCCACAUUGGGACUGAGACACGGCCCAGACUCCUACGGGAGGCAGCAGUGGGGAAUAUUGCACAAUGGGCGCAAGCCUGAUGCAGCAACGCCGCGUGAAGGAAGACGGUUUUCGGAUUGUAAACUUCUGUUCUUAGUGAAGAAUAAUGACGGUAGCUAAGGAGAAGCCACGGCUAACUACGUG